AACGAACGCUGGCGGCGCGCCUAAUACAUGCAAGUCGAACGAGAAGCUGUAGCAAUACAGUUGUACAGUGGCGAACGGGUGAGGAAUACAUGGGUGACCUACCCUCGAGUGGGGAAUAACCAGCCGAAAGGUUGGCUAAUACCGCGUACGCUUCCCAGUCUACGGGUUGGGAAGGAAAGCGAUGCCGUGGGUAUCGCGCUCAAGGUUGGGCUCAUGUCCUAUCAGCUGUUGGUGGGGUAACGGCUCACCAAGGCAACGACGGGUAGCUGGUCUGAGAGGACGAUCAGCCACACUGGCACUGCGACACGGGCCAGACUCCUACGGGAGGCAGCAGUAAGGAAUAUUGCGCAAUGGGCG
rnacentral:rRNA from 1 species